rnacentral:rRNA from 1 species
AGUGAACGCUGGCGGCGUGCUUAACACAUGCAAGUCGAACGAUGAUGCUCUAGCUUGCUAGAGCGGAUUAGUGGCGCACGGGUGAGUAAUGUAUAGCUGAUGUGCCCCUUAGAGGGGGAUAACAGUUGGAAACGACUGCUAAUACCCCAUACUCCUUCUUCCUAUAAGGGAAGUUGGGAAAGUUUUUUCGCUAAGGGAUCGGGCUAUAUGGUAUCAGCUUGUUGGUGAGGUAAUGGCUCACCAAGGCUAUGACGCCUAUCUGGUCUGAGAGGAUGAUCAGACACACUGGAACUGAGCCACGGUCCAGACGCCUACGGGAGGCAGCAGUGGGGAAUAUUACACAAUGGAGGAAACUCUGAUGUAGCAACGCCGCGUGGAGGAUGACACAUUUCGGUGCGUAAACUCCUUUUAUGUGAGAAGAUAAUGACGGUAUCACAUGAAUAAGCACCGGCUAACUCCGUGCCAGCCGCCGCCGUAA